AUGCAUCUCUGACAGACCUGGAGCAUUUAAUGUCUGCUGCUAAGAUUUCCACUAAAAAUCCAAGAAAAAGAAGGUCCUCAUGCUGUCUGUCUGCUGGUGGCAGCCAAGACUGAAUGGCGGAAUACAAGA
rnacentral:snoRNA from 1 species